CCCUCAUUUUCUCCUUAUGCAAUAUGCAAGAAGGGUUUAGACAGAGGAAAAACCCUAGGACUCCUAGCUAGCAAAAUUUCCCCUAGCUUUCACUCAUUUUUUCUCGUUUUUUCCUUCGUUCUACCAAAUGACCCAAUAACCAACGCCUAAAAUGGUACCCAGAUCUUGGUCCCGCCUUCUCCAUUUCCAUUCCCUCAGAAAACCUAAAAAACCCCCAAUCCCCCAACUCUUCCGGCAGGUAUCGACUUUUCCUCGCUUUCCCACCGCCCAAACAUCCCCAUUCUCCAAUUCCUCGACCACCUUCUUCUGCACCGCCGCUGGUUACUCCAACCGGGUCGUCCAGGACCUCCUGGCCGAUCUCGAGCGCGAGAAACAGCAGGAAAGAGAGGCAAGGAAGCGAGCUGGACUAGACACCAAGGACAUUGAUGAAGAGGAUAACGAGGAUUACAUGGGCGUGGGGCCAUUAAUAGAGAAGCUAGAGAAGGAGAGGCUGAAGCCUGUUGUUGGGGAUUUGCAUCUUCGUGAAGAGCCAUCUGAUUCGGAUAGCGAUGAGGAUGAUGAGAGGUUUGGCAGAGAAACAUUGACCAAAGGGUAUGAAGUGUUCCAGAAGAAACAUGAACGCCAUGAGGAGUUGCUUCGGCAUUUUGUAGAUUCUGAGACACUUGAGGAUGCUUUCAAAUGGAUGAAUAAAAUUGACAAGUUUGAGCAAAAACAUUUUCAUCUUCGACCUGAAUACAGGGUCAUUGGUGAGCUGAUUAAUCGUCUAAAAAUAGCAGAAGGCAAAGAUAAAUUUAUUCUUCAACAAAAAUUGAACAGGGCAAUGCGGCUGGUAGACUGGAAGGAAGCUUAUGAUCCCAACAAUCCAGCCAAUUAUGGAGUUAUUCAGCAUGCACAAGUUGGCUCUAAUGUUGAUGACUUGGAUAAUGCUGGGUUUGAAAAACAAAAGCAAAUGAUACAAGGUGGGUCUGAUGAGGAUGAGGAGGAGUUUGAUGACAUGAAGGAAAGGGAUGACAUACUAUUAGAGAAGCUCAAUGCCAUUGAUAAGAAACUUGAAGAGAAAUUAGCUGAGCUAGAUCAUACCUUUGGAAAGAAAGGGAAGGUUCUUGAGGAGGAGAUCAGAGAUCUUGCAGAGGAGAGAAAUGCUUUGACAGAGAAGAAAAGAAGACCAAUGUAUAGAAAAGGUUUUGAUGUGAAAUUGAUAGAUGUGAAUCGAACUUGUAAAGUUACCAAGGGAGGACAAGUAGUCAAGUACACUGCUAUCUUAGCUUGUGGAAACUAUCAUGGUGUUGUUGGUUUUGCUAAAGCCAAAGGCCCAGCUGUCCCUAUAGCUCUUCAGAAGGCCUAUGAGAAAUGCUUUCAGAAUCUCCACUAUGUAGAACGGCAUGAGGAGCACACAAUUGCACAUGCAAUACAAACAGAAUAUAAGAAAACCAAGUUUCUAUAUGUCUAUUUGCCUAGGUGUAUCUUUGGCCAGCCUCUACUAGAACGGGUAUGAAAGCCGGAAGAAUUGUUCAAACCGUUUUGAAUUUGGCUGGUUUCAAAAAUGUCAAAUCCAAGGUUAUUGGCUCAAGGAAUCCUCAUAACACUGUUAAGGCUCUUUUUAAAGCUUUAAAUGCAAUUGAAACUCCAAAGGAUGUGCAAGAGAAGUUUGGGAGGACAGUUGUUGAGAAGUACUUGCUGUGAUGUCACCCUUUUUCUUGGAUUCAAGUACUCUACAAGAGAUAUGGAGUUUUUUUGUUUUUGGUUCACUUCUCCUCGAACAUGGUAAAGCAUGUUUGCUACCAUCAUUUCUACUGACUCGAAAUUUUGGCUUCUCUCAAUCACCUCAGAGUAAAACUGCUUUAGUCAUAACUUGUGAGGUGUCUGAGAUUAACAAUAAUUUUCCAAGUUAAUGAUAUUGUGUGAAGUAUAGAAUAAUCAUGCUUCAUUGUUUCUUUUUC